UUGCUUUCUCAGCCUCCAGCACAGCUAGAGUCGAGCCAUGGGACCAGAUGUGCACCAUGAGAUUUCCUUUUGAAAGAGAAGGUCACGAAGAAGGUGAUGCCACGACGAGUACAUUCUCGUCAGGUGGCAGACAGGCAUGCAGCUCAGGGGCAGCGUGGUCAGAGGUCCUGGCCAUGGUAUCUUAGGACAAGCAGGCGGGGAGGCAAUGGUAUCUGACCCAUGCAGCAGUCCGGCAGUGCAGCUGGGGCGCAGUUUCUAUCUUUAGACCCUCCUAGCUUGAUUCUAUGGCUUCCUAGAAAUUCCCUGAGCCACCAAAAAUUCUUUACCAAACUGCCUAGAGUGAAGGCUAAAUUUCUGUAACAGACCCAACCAUACGGUGUCCUACUGAGAAAGGUCUUUCUCUCUUAGGUGACAGUCCUGACAGGAGCGAGGGUGGCAGCCAGCUCUUCUCCAGUCUUUUCGAGACCUGUGUUCCUUCCACCUUAGUGCUCUGUCAUCCCAAGUGCUAUCACUUAGUUCAAUGUAGGACGCAGGUACUUUAAUGUGGUGGAAUGUUUGGGUGAAGCAUCCAAAUUAAGAGCAUCUCGGGCGUAACAACAAUCCAGUGCUCCUCUAAACAGUGCUGGGCCACUUCUUUUCAGUUUUCCAACUUGCAUUGACUGCAAGAGCAAGAUGAUCUUGCAAAAAUACUCAACAGCAUUGGGCCUGCACCAGCAUGACUGUUUUAUCAUGUCUCCUUGAGACUCCUAUUUUCAUGGGAGCAGAAACUGUUCCCAAGUGAUUCCAGUGAUGUCUGGCUCCUCUUACGGAGGGGGAGCUUGGGCAGCUGCCCUUCAGAUCCAGUUCUGCCCACCGUCCACAGCCCUGUCCCUUAACCCAACUCCCUGGAGACCUGAAAAUGAGUACAUGAUUCCUGCCACAAGGGGCUCUGGCUCUAGUGGGUGACACUCCACCUACAGGUGAAGGGUGGACACCACACCUGGUAAGAAGUACUCUCUGUGGGGGCAGAAAGAGAGCUCUAAGCACAUAGAGGAAAGGCCUUUCCUUAGGAAAGAGUGACAAAGUUUCUGAAAGAGAAGGGAGGUCUCAUCUGACUGUAAGUUGGCCAUGUAAAGACUGAGGGCAGAGAGAAGAGUUUCGGGCAGAGAGGGAGUAACACUCACAAAGCAGUGAAAGAAAGUACAGCAGAUCCUGAAAGUAACACAGAAUGACUGAAGUGAAGAAGACAAAGGGAGAGCUGAUGAGAACUGAAGCUGGAGAAAUGAUUAAGGGCCAGUUCCUAAUGAGCAC
rnacentral:lncRNA from 1 species